CUGUAUCACUAUCUUAUAGCUAGACAAGUUGUUUUCCCUUUUAAAAAACUAUGGAGGAUGAAGAUGCCUCUUAAAGUUAAGGCAUUCUCUUGGUUAGUAAUCAAAAAUAGGAUUCUGAUCAAGGACAAUCUGAGUAAAAAAGGCUGGAAAGGUGCUAAGUUUUGUGAAUUUUGUGACUGUGAAGAGAGUGUGAAUCAUUUACCUUUCUCUUGUUCCUUAGCUAAGUUCAUGUGGAAUAUUAUGGGAUGUGCUCUAGGGAGCCAGAGAGCUCUAAUGUUUUUUUUCGACUUAUGCCAGAACUGGUUGCCUAGCUAUAUUGGUAAAGAUAAAGUAGUUGUUUUAUUGGGUACUGCUGCUCUCUUAUGGUCUAUAUGA
rnacentral:rRNA from 1 species